rnacentral:rRNA from 1 species
GAUGAACGCUAGCUACAGGCUUAACACAUGCAAGUCGAGGGGCAGCAUGGUCUUAGCUCGCUAAGACCGAUGGCGACCGGCGCACGGGUGAGUAACGCGUAUCCAACCUUCCGCAUACUCGGGAUAGCCUUUCGAAAGAAAGAUUAAUGCCCGAUGGUUUCCCGAAUCCGCAUGAGAGCGGGAAUAAAGAUUCAUCGGUAUGCGAUGGGGAUGCGUCCCAUUAGCUUGUUGGCGGGGUAACGGCCCACCAAGGCGACGAUGGGUAGGGGUUCUGAGAGGAAGGUCCCCCACAUUGGAACUGAGACACGGUCCAAACUCCUACGGGAGGCAGCAGUGAGGAAUAUUGGUCAAUGGGCGAGAGCCUGAACCAGCCAAGUAGCGUGAGGGAUGACCGCCCUACGGGUCGUAAACCUCUUUUAUAAGGGAAUAAAGAUAAGUACGCGUACUUAGUUGCAUGUACCUUAUGAAUAAGCAUCGGCUAACUCCGUGCCAGCCGCCGCAGUAA